UUGCAGCUAAUUAAGCCGACCAAGUCCCCUUCCCCAUGGGAACCUGGUGUGCAGUGGUUGCAAACAGCAGCCUCCUUGGUAGUGUAUGCAGCCUGUUGCCUGUAUGGGUUGCCCCAAGGGACCUUGGAGACAAUG